UCCUUUCCUUUUUCUUCAUGUUCCGUCACUGAGAAGACAAGCAAUUAAAUAUAGGUUUGAUGCUGAAAACAUGAACAUUUAGAAGGAUUAUUGAAUAGACAGUUCAUAUUUACCUAGAUUUCACAUUUUUAAGCAGUUCCUUAAAUUUCUUCCCAUCUGACUUGAAGGGGACAUGGCUUCAGUUUAUUCUCCUGGAGGUGUUCAUAAUCUCUGAGAAGUCUGGGAAUGUCAUCUUUUAAGGAGACUUUCUCUGCUAUAUUUCCAUCUACUGAUUUUCCCACUGAGUUGUUACUUUCAAAUGCUGUGAAGAAUGGAACUCAUUGUAUGUAUAUGUGUAUACAUACAUGUAUGUAUAGACAUUUUCCACUGAACUUCAGGUAACAAUUGUCUGUCAUCCCUAAGAAAACUG
rnacentral:lncRNA from 1 species